CAGAGGGACUUCUGUAAGAGUUUUUCUAGGUGUCUUGGAGUCUAGUGAUUUUCUGCUUCACAUAUGAUCUCCUGUAGCACUAAAUCAUAAAUAUAUCCUCUUUCAUAAACACUCCUUUCGGACAAAUUCCUGCUCCCCGGUGGCUCCUUCACACCCCAUAAUGACUAAAGCAGAGCGGCUGUAAAUUAUAUAAGCCCGGCAGUCCUCAAACACACUGGGACAUCAGUCACUGACAUGGCUGCACAGAGCUCAGACGGCUUUGGGCUCUAACUGCCAAACAGAGAUGAAAAACACUGCUCACCCAGUGGGUAGAGUGCCCAGAAGGUUAAACAAAUCACAAGCGCAUUUUUAUCAUUCCCCACUGUGUUUUUUUCUCUCACUUUCCGUCAGAGCUUUAGAAAUAAGCUUGCUGAUUUGCAUUUGUUUGGGAUUGGUUUGCUAGUUGAGCAAGAUGAGUUUAAGAGCAUGAACCGGACCCUCCUACUUGCUCUCCUCAGCCGGUGCAGGCAAAUUCUCAAGGACACAAGUCUCGACAUCCGUGAUACUGAAAAGAACGGGACUUUUUUUCACACCACAGUAAGUCCCAUUGCUAAAAAUAUUUCGGCGUUCUCCUCCUCCAGAGAGACUUAUGACAAUGCUUACUUCUAUAUACUUUUUGUGAUGCUGUUUUACUCCUUCCUCGCCAUGACACUUUUUAAGUGCUUCAUAAGUAGCAAUGAAGAGAAAAAAGAUCCCUAUGAAGAGUUCAUAGAAACACGGCACCCAUCAACACAAACAUUCAACGAAGGCCACAUGUCCGAGAAUUUUUACUUUGAAGAGGAGAGCAGCCUGGCUUUUUAAGGAAAAUUUGAGGAGGGGUAUUGGUGCAUUUGGGGAAUGUUUUGACAGUCACCAAGCCAGAAAAACGUCAGGCAAGACCUAAAAGGGAUUUUUUUACUCUCACUAACUUCAUUUUCCCUGUUCCCCCACCUACUCCCUCCUUUCGCCAACUGACAAUCAGAAACGUACCACAAGUAUGGCCAGUCUGGAGGCAUAAGGGGAGACGUGUGCCUCUGAUCAUCUGAAAGGAGGACGGAAACAUGUAGAAGUGUGGGUCAAUGGCAGGCCGGAAUCUCCUCCUGUGAGGCCCAAUCAGGAUCAAUAACAUUGGGGCCCUAAACAUGCACACUCUGCAGGGAAAAAAAGGUUAUGAAGACUCCAUGAAUAUGUUUUUAUGUGUGGUGUCUGUGCUUUAAAAAAAAAAAAAAAAAGAGGGUAAAAAGUGUCAAUUUAACCUGCUAUUUUGCUUAAAUCUGAGCACUUAUGUUACAUUUGUGAGAAACAAAAACUUAUUGAACUUAAAUAUUUUAUCAGAUCACAGACCUUAAAUAUUCUAUUAGGAUAAAAAUCUUAAUAAUGUUGUGUACACAUUUAAUUCCACCAACUACAAGACCUUUAUAUGCCUGCUUUGUAGAUUUAAAGGUUCUUUUUCAGAUCAUGUAUAGUUUAGACAGGAAGCAGGGCACCUGUAAAUGGAUUUAAGGCCUUUGACUGGAUUAUCCUAAGAUAGAUUUAUGUGCUAAUCUUAACAAUUACAUGCAUCUCUGGCAGUGUUCCUCAUUUACCCACUGU